rnacentral:sRNA from 1 species
AGUAAGUUUCCAAGAAUAAUUAAAUGUUAGACUUUCUUCUUUAAGUUCAAUACUUUCAACUUUAUGGCGCUAUUACUGCAGGUAAUUUAUUGAAUACCUUGUAUUUAUUUUUUUGUUUACUUCAAAUUUAUUUCACUUUGUGCCUUGAUUUAAUGCAAGUAUUUUUCAUUUAGUGAAUGAUGUAAGAAAUAAAAAUACAUGUAUAUUU